UGUUCCCUUCAGAAACCCACACUCCUUUUGAUUGCUCACCAUGGCCUGGGCUCUGCUCUUCUUGAGCUUUCUCGCCUCCUGUGCAGGUGCCAGCUCACAGCCAACUGUGACUCAGCCUGCCUCCGAGUCUGUGCCCCCGGGACAAACAUCCAAACUCUCCUGUUCUCAAGGCAGUGGCAGCUGGAGCAGCUCUAUCUACUGGGUUCAACAGAAAGCUGGCCAGGCUCCUCGCUUUAUCCACUGUAAUGGCUGCAGCAACCGGGGAGACGGGAUCCCAGAUCGGUUUACAGCUACUGCCUCUGGGAACACUGGCUAUUUAACCAUCACCAACGUCCGGCCUGAAGACGAGGCAGCUUAUUAUUGUUAUACAUGGUCUUAUGAUGCCAGCAUGUUUCACUGUGAUACAUUCUGGUGGGGAACUGAAACAAAAACCUCCACUCUUUCCUCCUCUCCCUUCAGACCCAAAUAG